rnacentral:lncRNA from 10 species
GAAUCAUCUUCUUUGUAUUCAUUGAUAGAUGAAAUGCACAUAACCUCUAAAUUUCCAGUGGGAGAGGAGGUCAGACAAAGCACUGGGCCCUAGGGAGAGGGAAGUGGAGAUGCAAAAAAGGGAAGAAGGGCCCCCCUCCUUUUGGAGAGACUCUAAGAGGGGCCACUGGAUCCACUCGGUGCAUGUCACUGAGGAAGCUCUAAACCCUGGUUUGUCCAGUUCAGCACUCCCCAAGCCUUAGAAGGUUGUUUGUCAGCCCCUUGUGGGGUUCUGUUCCAAAGACUGCAUGAACCCACUGAAUGCCUAGAGCCACAUGUGGCCAUAUUCACAGGGAUAUGAGCAAGGAACUCCAACAUGUUCUUCUGGCCACGCUUCCCUCUGAGCAGCCGUGUCAUCAAGAGAGUAAGAGUUCAAAACUAGGCUCUACUCUCCCAGGAUUCACCAGAACCACUUCUGUUUCCCUUUCCAGGAAGCAAAGCAAAACCACACUCAGAAAAUAACGAGAAAGAGCCAUAAGUCAAAGGAAAACAAGUCAAUAAAUCCACUAUCUAUGGCUCCAAGGAGUAGAGGAAGCACCCAAAGUGAUAUUAUUGUGAAACAUUAUUAUUAAUAUGGGAAAGCCGCUUCUAUGUGGACCUGCUCCUGACUCGUAUCUCUUCAUCUACACAGACUCUUGCUGAUUUCAAAGGAAAGCCCCAGGGUGGGAGCGUGGAUACUGCAGGAGGGUGCUGGUCUUAAUCAUCUGAGAAUGAGAUCUUACCUUCCUGCCUUACCCUUCUAGAAAAAAGGGCAGAUUCAGAAAUCAAGAGCCCCUCCGUUAAGUUUUGAGAAAUGUUAUCAUGAAAAUGAAGCAUAUCGGCCAAAGGAAAUUAAAUCCAUCUUGGCUCCCCACUACCAGUACUGCCAAAUGCUUGUUCAGGGAGUAACAGUACAUAGAUAUCUGAUUAGAAUCAAUCUGAUGUGAUCCAGGGAAGGCGGAGUAAAUCACUCCCUACAGUAAGUGACCUUGUUGAUCCCCUACUAAAGACGUGGAAGAAAGAGCCGGCAGGCGUCUGAGGAAUUGUGGCCAUCAUUUCCAGCUACAUGGAGGGCCUAUACACCAGAACUCCCGGAGGGCCUUUUACAUUUUGGUGUGGGCCAUUGUUCCCUUUCCCUCUUGCCCUCAGCCCCAGGGGUAUGACACAUUGUAGGGCUCACUGUCCAUGAGUCUGAACAUCAGCACCAACAGCGGGAGCAGCAGGGGAGAGAGGGCCUUCAUGCAAGGAGAGCACGCCACCACCUCAUGCCCCAGCUUCUACACCUGUUACCCACUGUUCCAUCUUUAGGAGGCUGACUCCACCUGGUAUUUCUACCAGAUCUAAAUGAUCACAUCAGGGAUCCAGGCACAAGUUGUCAGGACACAGGAAGUAACCACACAAUAUUUGUGCAGCCCUUUGCAGUCUACAAAGCACUUUGAUAUGAUUUUCUGUAAGAAUAUCAUUAUAUUCCCUAGGUUAAAGAUUAGGGCCCUUGAGGCACAGUGUUAUUGGCUGAAAUAUGUUCUCCAAAAAUUCGUAUGUUUAAGUCCUAACCCCCAGUACCUGAUAAUGUGACUAUAUUUGCAUAAAGCGUCUUUAAAAAGAUAAAUGAAGCUGGCUGUGGUGGUGCGCACCUGUAGGCCCAGCUACUCAGGAGGCUGAGGCAGGAGGAUCACUUGAGCCCAGUAGUUCAAGGCUGCAAUGAGCUGUGAUCAUGGCGCUGCACUCCAGCCUGGGUGACAGGGCAAGACUCUGACUCUUAACAAAUAAGAGUGAAAUAAAUGAGGUUAAAUUAGGUCAUAAAGGUGGGUCCUAAUCCAAUAUGACUAGUGUCGUAAGAAGAGAUUAGGACACAGACACACGCAGGGAAGACCAUGUGAGGAGCCAGGGAAAAAAUAGCCAUCUACAAACGAAGGAGAUAGUCCUUGGGAAAAACCAACCCUGCUGACACCUUGAUCUCAGACUUCUAGCCUCCAGAACUGUGAGAAAAUUAAUUUCUGUUGUUUCCCAGGCUGUUGUAUGUUACAGCAGCCCUAGGAAACUUAAUACACACAGGGUCGUCAAACGAAAGCUGCAGGAUUAUGCCCCAAUUAACUGAUUGCAGGAACAGUGCUCUUUUCCCUCCAGGCAGCAUGUACCUUGGCAUGAACUAGAAAAGGCUCCCAUUGCUAGAGAUAAAUUCUACUAUUUGUUAGGAAACUGACCUAGGAUGACCCCUAUGAGAAUGGUGCCCCUAGAGUUGCUCAGUGCCUGGCACGCACUACUGUACCUGGUGACCUAGAGUGGAAAGCACAUUUGGACACCCUCCACGGCAGCGUAACACAGGCCAUUGAUGAGGCUGAGGCUCCCCAAGCACUAGACAGCAGUAAGCUCUGUGAACAUGGGCUGAGAUGAGCCAGUGAAGCCUCAUAAUGUCCAAGCAGCACCUGCACCAGGAAGGCUCAAAGCGGCUUUUGACAUCUUCAGUGGUACUCGUAAGGUAUCAUCACAGAGGGGCUGUGUGGCCUGCAGGCAACCC